AUUGAACGCUGGCGGCAGGCUUAACACAUGCAAGUCGAACGAGCGGCGGACGGGUGAGUAAUGUAUGGGGAUCUGCCUGAUGGAGGGGGAUAACUACUGGACACGGUAUCUAAUCCCGCAUACUAUCAGCUGAACCCAUAUGGGAUUAGCUUGUAGGUGAGGUAACGGCUCACCCAGGCGACGAUCCCUAGCUGGUCUGAGAGGAUGAUCAGCCACACUGGGACUGAGACACGGCCCAGACUCCUACGGGAGGCAGCAGUGGGGAAUAUUGCACAAUGGGCGCAAGCCUGAUGCAGCCAUGCCGCGUGUAUGAAGAAGGCCUUCGGGUUGUAAAGUACUUUCAGUCGGGAGGCGUUACCGACAGAAGAAGCACCGGCUAACUCCGUGCCAGCAGCCGCGGUAAUUC
rnacentral:rRNA from 1 species